UUGACCGUGCCGAAGGUAGCAUAAUCAUUAGUUUUUUAAUUGGAAACUUGUAUGAAGGGUUGGACAAAGGAAAAGCUGUCUCUAUUAUAAAAAUUGAAGUUAACUUUUAAGUGAAAAGGCUUAAAUAUUUCAAGGGGACGAUAAGACCCUAUAAAGCUUUAUAAAUUAAUUAAAUUUUAUUGAGUUAAAAAAUUUAAAAAUUUAAUUUAAUUGUUUUAUUUUAUUGGGGCGAUAUAAAUAUAAAUURUAUUAACUGUUUGAAAUUUAUACAAUAAUAAUUGAUUUAAAUUUUAAAGAUCCUCUUUAGUGAUUUUAAGACCAAGUUACUUUAGGGAUAACAGCGUUAUUUUUUUUGAGAGUUCAUAUCGAAAAAAAAGUUUGCGACCUCGAUGUUGAAUUAAAAUGUCUAUAUAAUGCAGCAGUUAUAUAAGAGGGUCUGUUCGACCUUUAAAAUUUUACAUGAUUUGAGUUCAGACCGGCGUAAGCCAGGUUGGUUUUCUAUCUAAAA
rnacentral:rRNA from 1 species